rnacentral:misc_RNA from 1 species
GAUGAAGAACGUAGUGAAAUGCGAUAAGUAAUGUGAAUUGCAGAAUUCAGUGAAUCAUCGAAUCUUUGAACGCACAUUGCGCCCGGUAGUAUUCUGCCGGGCAUGCCUGUUCGAGCGUCAUUUCAACCAUCAAGCCCCAGCGCUUGUGUUGGGGGCCUGCGGCUGCCGCAGCCCCCUAAAAGCAGUGGCGGGCUCGCUAUCACACCGAGUGCAGUAGUUCAUCUUCUCUCCGGUCUUGUGAGGCGGGUUCAGGCCGUGAAACACCCCACUACAUUCAAGGUUGACCUCGGAUCAGGUAGGAAUACCCGCUGAACUUAAGCAUAUCAAUAAGCGGAGGA